rnacentral:rRNA from 1 species
UACGUAGGGUGCAAGCGUUGUCCGGAAUUAUUGGGCGUAAAGAGCUCGUAGGCGGUCUGUCGCGUCGGAUGUGAAAACCCAGGGCUCAACUCUGGGCCUGCAUUCGAUACGGGCAGACUAGAGUUCGGUAGGGGAGACUGGAAUUCCUGGUGUAGCGGUGAAAUGCGCAGAUAUCAGGAGGAACACCGGUGGCGAAGGCGGGUCUCUGGGCCGAAACUGACGCUGAGGAGCGAAAGCGUGGGGAGCAAACAGG